rnacentral:lncRNA from 1 species
GUGGCAGUGUUCGAUGCUACCGUCGACGACCUCGACUUGGUGGUUCCGGCAACGAUCAAUGGAGGUGGACCUCUCUGGAGGAGGAGACCCUGGGUCUCUAGAACGGCGCAGAUGAUGAAAUGGGGGCAAUCUGAUAGAACCCCUAAUUUUUCAAAUUAGGUUAAGAGGUUCUGGGCCUGGCUAUUGGGCCUUUCUCUGCCUGCCACCCCACCGCUGCUAUUCACACUCCCAAUCCAAUUCUGCAAAUAAAAAAAGUAAACCUUGGGCCUGACUAGCAAUUACUACAUGCAGCCUCCAUUUCUGCAGUCGCACCCCCUAUCUUUGGGCUUGGCUCUGGGCCGCUUUCCUUCUGCCCACCACCACUCUGUUUCCUAUUCACACUCCUCCUCCAUUGCCNCAAACAAGAAAAGAGGUUUGGGCUUUGGGCCCAUUUCGUUUNUGGCACCCCCUAAUCUUCAUAGUUGCACCCCUUCUGUUUGGACCGAACCUUUUCUGCCUGCCGCCACCUUUGUU